rnacentral:rRNA from 1 species
UACGGAGGGUGCAAGCGUUAUCCGGAUUCACUGGGCUUAAAGGGUGCGUAGGUGGCCAGGUAAGUCAGUGGUGAAAUCUCUGGGCUUAACCCGGAAACUGCCGUUGAUACUAUCUGUCUUGAAUAUAGUGGAGGUGAGCGGAAUAUGUCAUGUAGCGGUGAAAUGCUUAGAUAUGACAUAGAACAUCGAUUGCGAAGGCAGCUCGCUACACUAUGAUUGACACUGAGGCACGAAAGCGUGGGGAUCAAACAGG